GACGGGGCCCGCACAAGCGGUGAGCAUGUGGUUUAAUUCGAUGAUACGCGAGGAACCUUACCAGGCCUUUGACAUGCAGAGAACUUUUCCAGAGAUGGAUUGGUGCCUUUCGGGAACUCUGACACAGGUGCUGCAUGUCUGUCGUCAGCUCGUGUCGUGAGAUGUUGGGUUAAGUCCCGUAACGAGCGCAACCCUUGUCCUUAGUUACCAGCACGUUAUGGUGGGCACUCUAAGGAGACUGCCGGUGACAAACCGGAGGAAGGUGGGGAUGACGUCAAGUCAUCAUGGCCCUUACGGCCUGGGCUACACACGUGCUACAAUGGUCGGUACAAAGGGUUGCCAAGCCGCGAGGUGGAGCUAAUCCCAUAAAACCGAUCGUAGUCCGGAUCGCAGUCUGCAACUCGACUGCGUGAAGUCGGAAUCGCUAGUAAUCGUGAAUCAGAAUGUCACGGUGAAUACGUUCCCGGGCCUU
rnacentral:rRNA from 1 species